CAAGUCGAACGGCAGCGCGGGGCAACCUGGCGGCGAGUGGCGAACGGGUGAGUAAUAUAUCGGAACGUACCCUGGAGUGGGGGAUAACGUAGCGAAAGUUACGCUAAUACCGCAUACGAUCUAAGGAUGAAAGUGGGGGAUCGCAAGACCUCAUGCUCCUGGAGCGGCCGAUAUCUGAUUAGCUAGUUGGUAGGGUAAAAGCCUACCAAGGCAUCGAUCAGUAGCUGGUCUGAGAGGACGACCAGCCACACUGGAACUGAGACACGGUCCAGACUCCUACGGGAGGCAGCAGUGGGGAAUUUUGGACAAUGGGCGCAAGCCUGAUCCAGCAAUGCCGCGUGAGUGAAGAAGGCCUUCGGGUUGUAAAGCUCUUUUGUCAGGGAAGAAACGGGCCUUUCUAAUACAGGGGCCUAAUGACGGUACCUGAAGAAUAAGCACCGGCU
rnacentral:rRNA from 1 species